rnacentral:rRNA from 1 species
GACGGAGGAUGCAAGUGUUAUCCGGAAUCACUGGGCGUAAAGCGUCUGUAGGUGGUUCAAUAAGUCAACUGUUAAAUCUUGAGGCUCAACUUCAAAAUCGCAGUCGAAACUAUUGGACUCGAGUAUAGUAGGGGUAAAGGGAAUUUCCAGUGGAGCGGUGAAAUGCGUAGAGAUUGGAAAGAACACCAAUGGCGAAAGCACUUUACUGGGCUAUUACUGACACUGAGAGACGAAAAGCUAGGGUAGCAAAUGGG